GGCGCACCAGGUGCCCUAGCACCCUCUGUGUAUCACAGCGACGCCACCUUUUGCCCUAGCAGUGAUCCUUAAGAGCUUGGAUAUUCUUCUCUGUUCUUGGUCAUCCCUUCCUUGAGGUGCAUUUAGGUCACGGUUGAGGAACAAUGAACUCUUUCUUCACAGGUCACAGGGG